rfam:Aedes albopictus isolate Foshan contig120437, whole genome shotgun sequence.
CAAACGGCCCUUCUCAGGGCCACAAAUUUGUUUACAAGAAGAGUUA